CUUUAAGGGUCCUGAAGGAACGUUGAAGACGACGACGUUGAUAGGCCGGGUGUGUAAGCGCAGCGAUGCGUUGAGCUAACCGGUACUAAUGAACCGUGGGGCUUAACCUUACAACGCCGAAGGUGUUU
rnacentral:rRNA from 1 species